AUAAAGGAACAAAGUCUUCUAUUUAUCCAUAGAACAGACGCUGCAUGGAGAGCUGCACUACAAACUCCUCCACACUGCCAUGCCAAUAUGCCUAACCUGGAGGGGCCACCUUCAGGAAUAUAAAGGCAGUGUAGUCUCCAGUCAGGUGUUGGACUCC
rnacentral:sRNA from 1 species